GGCAUAAUUCUACUCUCACAGAAGUCACGGGGAAAACUGCCACUGACUUGAUUGGGAGCAGAAUUAGGCCAACGCUGA
rnacentral:miRNA from 1 species